rnacentral:rRNA from 1 species
GACGAACGCUGGCGGCGUGCUUAACACAUGCAAGUCGAACGGAAAGGCCCUGCUUUUGUGGGGUGCUCGAGUGGCGAACGGGUGAGUAACACGUGAGUAAACUGCCCUUGACUUUGGGAUAACUUCAGGAAACUCGGGCUAAUAUCGGAUAGGAGCUCCUGCUGCAAGGUGGGGGUUGGAAAGUUUCGGAGGUAGGGGAUGGAUUCGCGGCUUAUCAGCUUGUUGGUGGGGUAGUGGCUUACCAAGGCUUUGACGGGUAGCCGACCUGGGCGGGUGACCGGCGACAUUAGGACUGAGAGACGCACCAGACUCCAACGGGAGGCAACAGUGGAAAGUAUUACGCAGUGGGGGGGAGCGUGAUGCGACGGCGUCGCGUGCGUAAUAACGGCCUUCGAUUUAUGAACCACUUUCGCAGGAAACGAAGAGUGAGUGACGGUAAUUGGUAAGGAAGCACCGGCUAACUACGUG